rnacentral:lncRNA from 1 species
AAAUAAAUAAAUAGUCAUCCACCCCGUGUAAUUUUUUGUUUUAGCUCUGGGGUAAAAUCCACCCCUGGGCUGUGGAAGCAUCCAGUCACUUCUCAGACUGGGACGGUGUCUCUGGGGAAGACAAAGGUGGGUUCAGAAGAAGAUGAGAUUGCUGGGCCUUCUCCUGUGCCUGCUGACACCUCCCGAAGCUGUCCUGUCCCAGGUGCAGCAGCAGGAGUGAGGCUCAAGACUGGAGAAGCCGUGGCUGCCCCCUUCCUCACCUGGCACGACUCCGGAUUCUCCAUCACAGCCAGUGGUUACUGCGGAGGCCCGGUCCACCGGCCCCUAGACAAGGGGUUGCACUGGCUGAGGAGCAUCGAUUAUAAGAGAAACACGAACAACCGCCGCCUCUCAAGAGCCUCAUCUCCAUCCAGAGACUCAUCCAACAAGCAGCGCUCCCUGCGGCGGAGCUCCAGGAACCCACAGGACAGCCAGGGAAAUGAAGCACCAUUUAUUGGGACGUGUCCUCCAUUUCUGAUGGGCUCCCCGUGGUCUCCACCUCAGAUGGUUUUGCCACCAUCUUUAAUCCGUUAAUGCCUUCAAUCGCCCUCACCAUCCAUGUAAUGAAGCAAUGAAUGCCUUUACUUCAUCUACUUGUGUCUCCAUCAGUCAGUUCACUUCUCUCCAUUCUCACAAAGGACAGCCACCCACUACUUCAGAGCCUCCUGCAGCCUUGGGUGGUAAACCUAUUAAAAAGCCCCUGCUGUUUAGAAAGGGUGUGUAUUGGAAACUUAAUCCCAAAUUCCAUAGUGUCCAGAGGUGAGAAUGUUAAGAAAUGAUUAGGCCGAGAGGGCUCUGCCCUCAUGAAGCAAUUAAUGCCAUUAUCAUCAGAGUAGGUUACUUAUUGUGGUAGCAGAUUAGUUACUACAGGCCUGGGUUCCUCAUUAAAAAAUGAGUUUAGCCCCCUUUCCAUCCUUUGCACAUGCUCUCCUGCCUUCCACAUGGGCAUCACAGCAAGAAGGCUCUUGCCAGA